CUUCUCGUAAAACUAAUAAUAUUACAUAAAGACAAGUCGCAUUUUAAAGUAAAAAAUAAAAAUCAAUGUUUAUUUCGAAUAAUUUUUUUUUUGUUUACUCACUAAAUUGAUUGAAUAAUGAGUAAGACAGAAAAAAUAUAUAUAUACAGAUAUAUACAUUUAUAUGUCUGUAAACGAGUUACGCGUGGAUGCUUAGCUUUUGUUUGGAUUUCAUUUUAGAAGCGAAUAAAAUGGUCCCCCGAUUUGUGAAGGAGAGUAAGAGAGAUAGAGAAAGAGAGUGAGAGAGAGAAAGAGAAAAGAGGGAAGAAAAUGGACAGAGGAGCAAAGGAACGAAAAGCAACGAACGAACGAGAGACGGACGGAUACACGAUGAAAAGAGAGGGACGAAGAAAGAUACCGGCUGGCAAGCAGAUGGUAGCCUCGUUUAUUGGUUUACUCGUCGGCUCGCUGCCCCUCCGGCCAUGAAACGAGACUUUAGAACGAGUGUCGUUUCUCUUUGUAGCAGAGAGAGUGACCCGGCGACCUUCGAUUCGACGGAAAUCGAUGAAUGACGAGAAUGGAUUCAAUGACUCGAUCAAGCAGGAUACCAUCGAUGUAGAACGCGUCUUCUUACCUACCAUGCAUUCAUCGAACGUUCAUUCAAGAAGGGGACGAAGAGAAGACGAAGAGAACGAUAGUGGUGGAUAUAGUAGCUGACAUUAAGAGAGUAUCUGUGUGCGUGUAUGUGUGUGAAAGAGAGUUGGAGAGAGAGAAAGAGGGAGAGAGAAGUAUACGUACAGAUAUACAGACGCAGCCAUCAAAUAAUGGCGUCGUGGGGGCGGAUAGCCGUUGCCGGGUCGAUAGGAGGAAGGCCCUUGACCUGCAAAACUCCGACUGCCGUCCCACCGUCGGCGUCGCUUUAACGAGGACCCUCGCUCAUUGGCUCCUCUAGACUUCUCCCUAGGGAAGGAAUCGUGAUUCACCUGCUUUUUCGAGAUCGUAAUAUUGACCGCCUUGCUGUUUAGACCAAGACUUAGUCCAAGUCUCAGGGAGCUUAAUUUGCGUUAAUCCCAAUGAGUAUUCGAGGGUGGUUUAAAAGGGAUUAACUUGGCUAGAAAAGGUGAACGAACGGAAGACAAGAUAUGACCAAGUGACCUGGAAGUGCAAGGUGCGUUACGGCACGGUAUAUAAAACGAGCCGUUCAAGAAAGAGAAAAGGAAAGAACAUGAUGGAGAAGCCGACCUUGCUACGAUCAGCUGUGUCAUCCUUGGGCCGUUAACGCUCAGGUGGUUUCGAUCUCAGGGCCGAGCAUCAAUCAUCAUUGGUAGUGCAAGGCGUGAUGUGAUUAUUGUCACUAAGAUACUCCGCUACGAUAUAACAAUCACGAAAGUGUGCCAAGUGACAUAACAGGGUUUAUCUUUAACGGUGAAUCUUAAGCAUCAAAUAAAACAGACCUAAUAUUUUAACCUCCCAUUAUAUUCUAUUCAUUGAGAUAGGUCGGUACAGUCGGUGAGUUUCUUUUGUUCAUAGAUAAUUUAUUUUCGAAAAAUAACAAGUACUUGUUAUCUGUUAAAUUUAGGUCUUCCUUUAUAAAAUUUGAACUACUUUAAAGACGUUUUAAUACUUGAUUGUUGAUCGUUUCUUUACAAUUUUAUUUAACCAGUUUUGUUUUUCAGGUCCAGAUUAUGCUCUUCUUUACGAAAGAAAUAUAUUUAAAAGGGAUUUAGAUACAAAAAAGAAAUGAAUGGAUGCGUUUAUUAAGUCGACAGACAAACGAUUUAUCGAAAGAAUACAAUUUUUAUCUAAUCUGCGUAUACAUGAGAAUAACUUUGAUACAAAAUCAAAACUAUUUUUACAUGUCUCUAAUUAGUUAAUGAAAAAAAUUAAUAUCGAAUAAUGCGAGUAAAUUGGGUUUCCAUAACGUUAUUAAUCGUUAUUACAUAACGAAAACGAAGUUCGAAAUUUUUGUAAUAAAUGAUAAUACUGUACUUUACAAUCGACAAAACGAAAUUCACAUUUUUUACGAAGAUAUCGAUUCACUUAUUAUCAUCUUCUUACAAAUUAGUAUUUCAUUUCUUAUCAAUGACAUUUAAAUAUCAGUCAGAAGAAAUAAAAAAUAAAAAUAUGCAUACGUGAAUAAUAGAAUAUGUAAAAUGACUGAUUAAGCGGCCAUUGUAGGGCGAUUAAGUUAUCGCAAUAAUACAAUAUGUUUCCUUUCUAUAUUAACAACAAAGAUAUUCUCGAAGAUUUUAGAAUCUGAUUUCAGCAGCGAGUUUAAUAACAGCGAACUCCCUCCCUGCAUCAUGGUAGGAUGACUCGACGAAGCGAGUCUGUUUUCGAAUGACUUGGCACUACGAAGAGAAGAUCUGGGCUAGUGAGAUCGCCAAUUUCAACUGCUGCCAAUAUCAUCUUUGGCUGAGAAUCGAUAUCGAGAUAGAUAGUAUGUGUAAUGCCACUGUGAUCGAUGCAAUAAGAAAUAAUUAUCUCAGCAGAAAUUUUACAAUUUUUGUUAUAAUCGUAAAUGGACGAUGAUUCCUGAUCGAACACUGGGCCAACACAGAAGUCAAUAACCGGCACGUACACGUAUACAUAUAAUAUAUACAUAUGUUAUAACUUGAAAAUAGGAAAUAACGUGCGAAGCGAAUAGACGAUGAUCUAAAUAUUUUCUUUUUCUUAAAUGUAACAAACGAUAUGUGCCGUUAAAACAAAGGCCCAGUUAAUGCUCUACAUCUACCCUGUAGAUCCGAAUUUGUUUGAUAAGAGGCGACAAAUUCGGUUCUAGAGAGGUUUGUGUGGUGCAUACAGUGCUACAGUGGUCUCUAUUCUACGAAAUUAAAAAAAAAACUUUCUUUUCUUUUUAUAUAUAUUUGUGUGUGUAUGUAUUAAUUUUCUCGGCUAAUGAUUCGAUGUUAUUCGGUUCUAAUCGACAACGACAUUAUUACGAUAAAAUAUUGCGAUUUAACUAUUCCGACAAAAUUUGUAUUUAUAAAUUUAACGAGCGUACAUCAUUUUUAAUGUUGUAACGAUUUAUAUACGUCGAUUACGUACAUGGAAGGGUUAUUAGGAGAGUCUAUAAAGACAAAGAUAAUCGCAACGAUAUUAUCUACAAAGAACUAUUCUCAUUUACCGACUCGUUAGAACGAAGUUGCAUUUAUUAACUUGUACUAAGAUAAGAUAAGAUCGAUUAAAAAAGUAGAUACUCGUGGUGUGCUAACAUGAGUUAGGAAAUAAUUAGAAAAAGAUGUAUAAUGAAAAGAAACAAAAAAAAGCACAUCAUGCACAGAAAAAGAAAAGAGAAAGAGAAAAAGGAUAACUUUUCGCACGAAUAUAUUGACAACUAGAAGUAGUCGAGCAAUAAGAAUUUACAUAUAGAAUAAGUUACGUUCGUAUCUGUUCAGAUCUAAGAUCCUUGUAAAAUGACUUGUUUCAUGAAUCAUUCGCAUUCGUUUCGAAGCAUUUUCAGUAUGUGAAAGCUUCCAAUAGUUAGGAGAAAUGUCCCGAAGCUAUAGGAAUGAAUUAUCGUCAUUAAUUUCGUGGUCUUGGUGCACCCAUCUCAGGAUGCUGUCGAUGGUGAACUGUGUUAUGACUAGCGACCCGUUGCACAUCCACGCUUAGAUGCAUGGCAUUAGCUCGCACAUUCCUCUCGCAAUUUCUACAGGAUGAUUCAAAAUUAAAUUAAUCCUUUUUAAAUACUUGCGUAAGAGUUAACAGGAGAAAAUUUAUAUCAUUCUUUGUAAAUAAUUAUAUAAAACUUGUAGAAUAUUUUUAAUAUCAAAAAUCUUAGAUUAGAUCGAUCGAUAAUGCUUCAAAUCAAACAAAAUCGAAAUAUUUUGUAAAUUUUUUUAUAACAAACGUCUAUAUAAUUAUCUUACUUUCAUUUGUUUUGUAUCAAUCUAUGAGAGAUAAACGCGAAAAAAUUUAUAUAUAGAUAAUUUAUUGUAAUUUUAAAGAGAGAGAAAGAGAGAGAGAGAGAGAGAGAGAGAGAAAGGGAGAGAGAGAAAAUAUUCAGACAGGAUAUUACGAUAGAUGGGUAUAAUUAAGAAAUUUUACGUCAAUGAUACGAAAGGUACAGGAUCUAAGCAUCCAUGGCUUCAUCUUCCUCUUAAUCUUCUUCUUCUUCUUAUUCUUCUUCUUCUCCUUCUUCUUCUUCUUCCUCUUCCGUUACGUAUGUAUAUCUUCGUUUUCUAGAUACAGGCACGUGAAUUCUUGAAUCCUUCUGUAACGGUGAAGGUACGUCCAUUAAUCUUUGAUCGUACUCAUAUUAAAGUGACAUGCGGUGGUUAUGCAACGCCUAGUACCUACCUAAGUGCUAAUGAAGUGCAUACACAGGCAUAAUUACCGUAUGAGUGGACUGCCCACUUUUCACGCGGCGCAUAAUCUAUCGGAUAAAAAGAAACGAAAAAAAAGAAUAAAGAAAAAAGUAAAAAGUAAGAAAGAAGAAAGAAAGAAAGAAAGAAAGAAAGAAAGAAAAACGAUUUCACAAUGACCCGUGAAAAAAUAAUCAUCGGUACGGGUGCGUUCACUUAUAAGCAAGCCGAAAGUUAAAUAAAAAUAAAGCAAAUUUUAUGUUCAUUGGUAUGCGUAUUUGCAAAUAAAUAGGUACUAGCAUAUACAUAUAUGUAUAUGUAUUUACUUAGGUAUCUAUGUAUAUGAAACUUAUCAUUCUCGUUCGUAUAAUUUCCUUCGACACAUUCAUGAAAAUGAAUAUUUAUGAAGUUCCUGUUUCGAAAUUCUAGGAAGUUUUCAGUCGAUACUGAACCAAGAGAGGAAUUCAUUAGCUUGUAGGUAUAGGCUUUUUCAAACGAGUUAAUAAUGCAAGAUACAUAGGCAAGCAGGAAGACCGAUAAGGAUAAAACGUUAAAUCAAGAACGAAUUGUUUUACGCGAUUCUUUAACGGUUAAAAAGUAUAACAUUUACUUGUACGUCGAAUAAUUGAAAAUACUUGGGUCGAGUAAUAAAAUUUACACGCAAAAAUUAUUGUUACAAGUUCUCAGAUAAAUCGAGAAAGGAAUUAACAAGACGAUAUCGAUAGACGCGAUCCAGUCAGUCGUCUUAUUUACAAACGUCCGAAGGCCUCGCGUAAUCUCGAUGAGAAUAUAGUAAGCAAAAGUACUUUAUGUAGGUAUAUAGGUAAGUAUAUAUAUAGUAUAUACGUACACGCUGUCAGUUGAAAUAAUCGGUUAUAAGAAGUUAAAUAAGCAAACGGCAGCGAAGUUAACGAGCAACCGAGCCAGCGAACGUUUCAUUGCGAAACGAACGUAUAUCGUGAGUUCUCUCAUCUCGUGAAUCCUCUUUCAUCUUCUUUUCUCGAAGAGAUGAAAUAAGUAUCGUUCGGUGGAUCUAAUCUCUCAUGACGUUUCACCGGACGUCCACGUCGGCGAACUCGCCAUUCUGGAUGCCGAGAAACCUCACCCUCACCGAAUCAACGACGACAACAAAGACAAAAUAACGACGACGACGACGACGACGACGACGACGACGACGACGACUACGACGAAGACGACUACGACGAGAAGGAUGAUGAUGAUGCUGCUGGUGCUGCUGGUGCUGCUGACCGAGCAAACGGAUACGCUCGGACACGUUUACGCGCGUUCAGAGAUCCUCGCUCGGCAGAGAGUCUCCAGUCUAAAUCCACAUCCGAGUGCGCGAGAAAACAUAGGAAGAUUAAUGAUUUGCGUGACACGAGCUUGCUAAGAGAAAGAGAGAGAAAGAGAGAGAGAGAGGGAAAGAGAGAGAGAGAGAGAGAGAGAGAAUGGUAGAGUGGGUGAGAGGGGUAACAGCAGUUCCAAGUGGAGGGGUAUAGCGGAAUGGAGAGAAGAGUAAAGAGAGGGGAGGGAAGCCGUUCACACGUUUUACUUCACGAGGAAACCGCGGGGAAUGGUUUCUCCUUAUUUUUCUUUCUCUUUCUUUAUUUUCUUACGACGAUACGAUGGCCUUUUCUAAGACUUUUCUAAGCUACUCUUGCGAUCACCUCGAGGACGAGAACUCGAUCGAUCGAGCCAACUCUUCGGAAGGUCUUAUAUUCAUAAGAGGAAAGGUUGUAAGAAGAAUUUUGGAUUCUUUCAACGAUAUAUGCCCCUUGUUAGAAAGACUUCGAGGAGAGAAGUGCUUGGGAAACUGGAUCAAACUUUGUGGUGUGAUGGAUUGAGAACUCGUGGAUAGAAUAUCGUCAAAGUUAUAGUGUACCAUACAGGUUCAUUUAUUGUGCCUUCGUUAAGUACGUCGAUCUUCAGCGGUCGUUGCUGAUCUUCUUCAGCUUUUGUUAAGUGGCACGAAAUUUGGAACUAUUAUUAUUUAUUGUUGUUUAACCUUCACAAAUUAUUUUCACAUUUUUUUUUGUAUAAAGGAUAAAGUAUAUUGCAAUAUUUAAUUAUUUAUAAUUUUGGUUGUUCUUUGAUCGUAAAAUGAGAGGAGCAAUAACAAGUAUUUCCACUCGAGAUAUUAAUUUUUCAAUAAUUUUAUAAUCCUAACUGACGUCGGGAGAACGGAAAUCCAUUUUUGCAUAGACCCAGUGCCGAGCAGCCUACCGAUAUAUUUUUAGAAUCCUUUUAUGUCGUAGCCUCUCUGGAGUCCCGCGGUGAAAGGGUUAGCCUUCGUCGUAUCGUCUCCAUUGACAAUCAGAUUGGAAGGCGUAGGGUAAAAGAGUAUCUCACCGUCUCGCAAUAUAUUUCUCGUCGUCUUUUUAUUUAAACGAAAAUGAAAAACAUGGAAGAUAUCGGGAUCAAAAAAGGAAAGAAUCGAAACAUUCGUAAUUAUAACGUAUUGCAUAGCUCUUUG